AAAAAUAAAGCUAGUUAGAGGAGCAUUUCAUUUACGGUGAGAAAUUAUAUUGUGCAAGUCAAUUUGUUUUUA
rnacentral:tRNA from 1 species